UGCACAGGUCCAUCUGCUGGUUCCGCUCCCGCUUUCUCCACUUGGCUCGGCGGUUCUUGAACCAGACCUGAGGAGGGACGGGACGGACACACCGACACGGCACGCCCCCCCAUGAUGGAAACCGGGCAGCCCCCAAAAUUCUCUUUCCAGGUUAAAAACCAGCAUCGUCCUGCCUGUCGGCUGCGCCCGGCCUGCGCGAUUUUCCUGCUGCAUCCCC